rnacentral:rRNA from 1 species
AGUGAACGCUGGCGGUAGGCCUAACACAUGCAAGUCGAACGGCAGCACAGUAAGAGCUUGCUCUUACGGGUGGCGAGUGGCGGACGGGUGAGGAAUACAUCGGAAUCUACUUUUUCGUGGGGGAUAACGUAGGGAAACUUACGCUAAUACCGCAUACGACCUACGGGUGAAAGCAGGGGAUCUUCGGACCUUGCGCGAUUGAAUGAGCCGAUGUCGGAUUAGCUAGUCGGCGGGGUAAAGGCCCACCAAGGCGACGAUCCGUAGCUGGUCUGAGAGGAUGAUCAGCCACACUGGAAAUGAGACACGGUCCAGACUCCUACGGGAGGCAGCAGUGGGGAAUAUUGGACAAUGGGCGCAAGCCUGAUCCAGCCAUACCGCGUGGGUGAAGAAGGCCUUCGGGUUGUAAAGCCCUUUUGUUGGGAAAGAAAAGCAGCAGGUUAAUACCCCGCUGUUCUGACGGUACCCAAAGAAUAAGCACCGGCUAACUUCGUG